GAUGCGCUAUGCUUGUUAGGACUGGUGCGUGUGUGCGUGGAGUAUGUAUGGAACAAGUCAUCGAGGAUAGCAGCCUAUGAAGACGUGGCACGGUCAACCGGGGGAAGGAUUUCCCGGUUCCUGAUCGUGGCCGAAGAAAAAGGGCCUGUCCUCGUGAAAGGUCAGAUGGGCGUGAUGACCUCAGGGACAAUGCACAUCAUCAGCAACCUACCAGGUGGACGAAGACAGGCACGGUCAACUGUGGAAAUACGAUGUCCCUGUCCUGGCCGUGCUGAAGAAGAAGCCCUGUCCUGGCAAGUGCCACAUCAUCAUUAUCAACCUACCUUGGUGGACGAAGACAUGGCACGAUCACCCGUGGAGAUACGAUGUCCCGGUUCCUGAUCGUGACCAAAGAAGAACCCCUGUCCUGGCAAAUGAGUGCUAGGCAGGCGAAGAGGUGGUGCGAUCACUUGGGAAGGCGCGAUCCUGGAGGAUGCCCCAUGCCGACCGUUGUUGAAGAAAAAUUCCUGCGUGUACUGCUCAGGUUGAAAAUGACCUACCGCUUGAUCGGAGGUGCAACGGCGCGGAUCCGCAAUCCCCCAUGGUUGCCUAGCGCAUGGUGGUUUGCGGGAGGACGGAAUAACGCGAAACGCGUUGAAUUGCCAAAGCGCCGUUGUGGCUAUACGCUGGUAUUCUUUAUAUAUCCCAAAGGAUGAAAAGGUACCGGCGGCCCACGUAGGGGAGAGGUUUUAGUGGGUAGUAUACCCAGCCACGGGACUGUCCCUUCUGGACUACCCGUUCAAGGUCGCCCCUUCUGGGCUGUGACCUACUCUUGGACUAAACCCCACCCAUAGGGUCGGGUUGCCAGGUUGCCCCCUUCUGGGGUUGCCUUUUUGGGUUUGCCCCCACCAAACGGGCGCCAGGCUGCCCCAUCAGGGCGGGUAUGAAUCCCACACUGCCCGGGCCCCCUCUAGCCGACUAGACGAAAGGGGAAUCAGCCUGCGCGUGCAUAAAUGCAUUUCCUCUUCUAUUUAAAAAAAAAAGAAGGUUUAGGUUAGGGUUAGGGUUAGGUUAUGUUAGGUUAGGGUGAUUCCCGCUCGACCAGGCCCUCCAAGCUCCACUCUUGUGAAUUUGAUGCAAAUUUUAACUCACCCCCGGACUUCCAGGCGGCGCUGAUGUCGCUUCUCUACAUGCAUUGUUUGUAUCACUGAUUUUAACAUACACAACUAAAGAUAUCGUGACGUCAUGUUCCCGCGAAAUUUGUCGCCGCUUUUUCAAUUGUUUCAAAAUUUAAAGAGACAAAAGAAUUAUGGCGCACAUGGUUGCACAUGGUGGCAGCGUGGGUGACUGAAUUUCCAGUUUUUUCUAGGUUUUUAGGUUUUUAAUAACUUCUACUGAUGAGAUGCAGCAACAGCAGAAGAAGAUAGAAAUUAAGAUGUUCUCCUUCACUCAAGAGAAAAAGGAUAAGAAGAGGAUGGCGCAGUGGGUGCAAGUACGUGGUAACCCAAAGUUAGUGCUUCCACUUGAAAACUGAAUUUCUGGAUGAUCUGUAACAGCUAUUUUGAAGAAAAAUACUUUGUGAGAAAAAGAUUAACAACAUCAGCAGUUCCCGCACUGAACUUAUUUGGUAAUAACUCUUAUAUAAUUUUUAUAGCAUAUGUAAAUAAUUGUUAACGAAAAUAUUUAUUACAGUGUCUGAGGCUGCCUUUAUUAAAAUAGAGCAACAAGACAUCUGGAUGCAAAU